UUGUAUGAAUGGUUAAACGAAAGUUAAACUAUUUUUUAAUUAAAAAAUUGAAUUUGGGUUUUAAGUUAGAAAACUUAAAUUUUUAAAAGGGACGAGAAGACCCUAAAGAAUUUAAGAAUGAUUAUUUGUUAAAUAUUAUUUUUUGGUUGGGGUGACAGAAAAUAAACUUUUUUACAAAAUAUUCAUAUUAUAUGUAUUUAUGAUCCUAAAUUUUAGAUAAUUAGAUUCAAUUACCUUAGGGAUAACAGCAUAAUUUUUUUUAAAAGAUCUUAUUGAUAAAAAAGAUUAUGACCUCGAUGUUGAAUUAAGAUAAUAUUUUGGUGCAGAAUUUGAAAUAUUUAGUCUGUUCGACUUUUAAUUUUACAUGAUUUGAGUUCAGACCGGCGUGAGCCAGGUUGGUUUCUAUCUUUUUAUAUAAA
rnacentral:rRNA from 1 species